rnacentral:rRNA from 1 species
UACGGGGGGGGCAAGCGUUGUUCGGAAUUACUGGGCGUAAAGGGCGCGUAGGCGGCCUGAUAAGUCGGGGGUGAAAGCCUGUGGCUCAACCACAGAAUUGCCUUCGAUACUGUUGGGCUUGAGUAUGGUAGAGGUUGGUGGAACUGCGAGUGUAGAGGUGAAAUUCGUAGAUAUUCGCAAGAACACCGGUGGCGAAGGCGGCCAACUGGACCAUUACUGACGCUGAGGCGCGAAAGCGUGGGGAGCAAACAGG